UCUUGGUCAAAUUAGAGGAAGUAAAAGUCGUAACAAGGUUUCCGUAGGUGAACCUGCGGAAGGAUCAUUACAGAGUUCAUGCCCUCACGGGUAGAUCUCCCACCCUUGAAUAUUUUAUACCUUUGUUGCUUUGGCGGGCCGCUUCGGCUACCGGCUUUGGCUGGUGAGUGCCCGCCAGAGGACCCCAAAUUCUGAAUUAUAGUGUCGUCUGAGUACUAUAAAAUAGUUAAAACUUUCAACAACGGAUCUCUUGGUUCUGGCAUCGAUGAAGAACGCAGCGAAAUGCGAUAAGUAAUGUGAAUUGCAGAAUUCAGUGAAUCAUCGAAUCUUUGAACGCACAUUGCGCCCCUUGGUAUUCCGAGGGGCAUGCCUGUUCGAGCGUCAUUAUAACCCCUCAAGCUCAGCUUGGUGUUGGGGCCUGCCGCACGGGCAGCCCUUAAAAUCAGUGGCGGUGCCAUCUGGCUCUAAGCGUAGUAAUUCUUCUCGCUAUAGAGUCACGGUGGAUGCUUGCCAUUAACCCCCAAUUUUCAAUGGUUGACCUCGGAUCAGGUAGGGAUACCCGCUGAACUUAAGCAUAUCAAUAAGCGGAGGAA
rnacentral:rRNA from 1 species